AGAGACAGCAGCAGCCACGGUAAUACGGAGGGUGCAAGCGUUAAUCGGAAUUACUGGGCGUAAAGCGCACGCAGGCGGUCUGUCAAGUCAGAUGUGAAAUCCCCGGGCUUAACCUGGGAACUGCAUUUGAAACUGGCAGGCUAGAGUCUUGUAGAGGGGGGUAGAAUUCCAGGUGUAGCGGUGAAAUGCGUAGAGAUCUGGAGGAAUACCGGUGGCGAAGGCGGCCCCCUGGACAAAGACUGACGCUCAGGUGCGAAAGCGUGGGGAGCAAACAGGAUUAGAUACCCCUGUAGUCCCUGUCUCUUAUAC
rnacentral:rRNA from 1 species